rnacentral:rRNA from 1 species
CAGCCCCUCGAGUGGUGGGGAUGAUUAUUUGGCCUAAAGCGUCCGUAGCCGGCCGAGUAAGUCCCCCGUUAAAUCCAGCGUCUCAAGCGUUGGACUGCGGGAGAUACUACCUGGCUAGAGAGUGGGAGAGGUCAGCGGUAUUCUGGGGGUAGGGGCGAAAUCCUUUGAUCCCCGGAGGACCACCAGUGGCGAAGGCUGCUGACUAGAACACGUCUGACGGUCAGGGACGAAAGCUGGGGUAGCGAACCGGAUUAGAUACCCGUGUAGUCC